rnacentral:lncRNA from 1 species
AACACUUAUGUCAGUAGACUUGGAGUAAAGCAGAUUACCCUCCAAAUGUGGGUGGCUUCAUCCAAUCAGUUGAAGGCCUUAGGACAAAAAGUCUGAGGAUCCUCUUCAGACUCCAGCUGCAACAUCAGCUCUUCCCUGGGUAUUCAGCCUGCCAGCUUGUCCUGCAAAUUCAGACUCGACAGCCUCUACAACUGUGAGCUAAUUUAAAACAAUCUUUCUUUCUCUUUUUCAAAUCCCUCACUAAUGCAUCAUGUUUUGUGUUCAGCCAUGUUUCAAGCUAUUUGACAAUUCUCUCUUAUCCGUAUAUAUGGAAGAUACAAUGCUGUAGGCUCAUCAUACCAUACCCUUUUCCUGCGAACACAGGAGGACCCCAUCUUCUAGCCUCUCUUACAGUUAUGUUGGACCUAUGUGACUGGAUUCUGGCCACUGGAAAAGCAACAGUGGAUGUAACACAAGUUACUUUCAAGCCUAGCCCUUAAAAGCAUCUUGCCAAACCCUUCAACUCUCUGUUACAAAGCAGCCUUGAAAGCCAUGUAUUCUAGGUGGCAUACGAACAUGAUAAAGAAAGCAUGUCAGACCUAUAUGAAACCAGAGUAAGCAAUAAUUUAUUCUUUAUUAUGUUCAGGGACUGAGAUAUAGGAGUUAAUUUCUCACUGCAGCAUAGCCUAGCAUUUCCGUACUAAUACCCUGCAUCAGUUGGGUUGCUGUGAGCAGUAUGAGAAAACCCAGAGUCAGACUGGCCUCAACAAUAUGGAAAUGCAUCAACUCACAUAACAGGAAGAGCAAAGGUUAGACAGAUUUCAUGACUGGUUGGUUAUGCAGCUCAAUGAUGUGACCGAAGGCUAUCUUUUCUUAGAUGUCUCUUCUUUGUGUUCCUCAGCAUUUCAGCUUCAUCUUCAUGCUAGUUCCCCCUUAUAUUCAUCUGACAGGUGUCACAGAAACAAAUUUCACAUCAUGGUCAUCUCAUUUCCCUAGAAUACCUCCACUGUCCUUCCACUUGUCUCAUUUGAUGGAAUUGAAUACACACACCUAUCCCUAAACCAUCAAUGGCAAAGGGAUUGGGAACACUCAUUGUCUUAAAUAAAUCAGGAUUGUUAUCUGAGAUUAAAGGUAAAUUAGCCCUCUUCUGAGUCAUGAAGAAAGAAGUGAAUGUAUGAACCAAAUCAAGCCUCUUCAAAGAGUGCAUACCAAACUCAAGGUCUUUGGGAUAUUAAGGCUUGAUAUUACACCCUGGAACUCUUGAGAAAUCACUACCUAAGCCAUUUAAAUUAAACCAUCUUGACCAGGCUCCCCUCCCAUUCCUCUAGGGAGAAGAGCAUAUAUAUGUAACUGCCAGAAUCAUAUUACUACGUUGAAUGACAGGGUCAGGGCAGAACAUAUGCAUCCUGAGGCUUGAGCCGUACCCUAACCCUGAAAUAGUUUCUUUGACCGCAAGCCGUCAGUGAUUCUUCUCUGCAAUAAAUAGUGGAGACAAGACUAGUUUUUUGACUAAAUUCUCCAAAGGGGUGAAACAGGCAAUCAGGUAAAAUAUAAAACACCUUACUGAAAAUUAAUACAAAAAUGCCCUGAUUUUAGCAUCAUACAAUAGACAAAUAUGUUUGAAAACACAUGCUGUCUGUUAUACUUUAACACGGCACAACAGGAGAAUUGGGAGUGAGGCUGGAGACAAAGAUGGGAAAAAUAAAGAAAUAACCUUAAUGACAGAAUGCUGUCUUGCUUCACAAAAUUAAUUAAGUCCUCCAUUGCACGAGAGCCACAUAAUCUCUGCUCAAAAAGAUUAACCCAAUUUAUACCAAUUAACCCAAAGCAAAUCUAGCUUUUUGUAUGCUUAACAGGAGCAUACAUAUAAGAAUGCCACACAUCAGGAUUAAAGGGGAGUCACAGUAAUUCUACUUUACUGUAUAAGCAUUAAAGCAGCAGUAGUACAUUAUCUAUUUUGUUGUUUAGCAUAAAUGUUGAUUUUUAAGAAGUGAAGAAGGUAAGGUGGAGUCCACGGUCUUGGCUUUUAUCUACAUGCCAAUCCUAUGAGAGGCUUGGUGUGAAGUGGAAAGUGUUGAAGUGGUUGAAAGGUUAGCCUUUCUAGCUUAAAAAAAUCUGUCAAUUAUUGCCAUUGUGACAUUUAGUAAUUCAAUCAAACUUUCUUAAGUUCAGUUGCUGUGUCUAUAUAUAAAGUAACAACAAUGGAUAUAUUCCCAUAAACUUCAUAGAGUUAAGUAAAAAUCAUCACAAAGUCAAAAAAAAUGAGCUGAUAUAAAUUAUCACUGACACGGAAUACUUGAUCAAACAUUUAUGGUCUCAAAAUUAUUGCUUAUUCAUUAGGAUAUUCAUUCGUAUUUAGUGUCCGGCAGCUCAAAAGCCUAUUCCCUUGUUACUAUUCAGUUCCUACUAAUGAAGGACCCACUCUUAUACUCAAGGUAGUCAGGAAGAGACAGAAGUUACAGCAGUUUUCAUUUCAUCAUGAACUUUUGGCAAAGGGUGAGCAUGAACUUUUGGCAAAAGGAAGUGUUGGAAAUAAUAAGAUUAUUCUUAAGAUACCACUCCUUGGCUUUCUAUGGAAGAAGUAUCAUUUCCAGUGUAAGAUAACAAUCUUUAUUCAGAGUUAAAAUCCUACCCUGAAGAAACAAAGAACUGGA